rnacentral:lncRNA from 1 species
CAGAGGUUGGGCCUGUAGACGCUGACAGGAGGCAGGAGCUGGGCCGGGAGAGGUCAACUUGAGGAGAUUUUGGGCCUUCAUAGGCCACCAGGAGGCAGCAGUUGGGACUAGAGAGGCUGACUUGAGUAAGUUUUGGGCCCGGAGAUGACGUUCUGGGACAGGAGCUGUGCCUGGAGAGGUCACUGUGAGGCAUGAGCUGGAUGUAGAGAGGCCAGUGUGAGGCAAGACCUGGGCCUGUCUAGGCUGCUGGGAGACACGCAGGAAUCUGGCCAGGGAAGGUUGCCAUGAGACGAAAGUUGGGCCUGGAAAGGCCCUUGUGAAGCAUGAGCUUGGCCUAAAGAGGCCACUGGGUGGCAGGAGCUGGGUGUGUAGAAGCUGCUAAAGGUUGGGAGCUUGGCUUGGGGGGUCCACAGUGAGGCAGAUGCUGGGCCUCAAGAAUCUGCUAUGAGGCAGAUGUUGGGACUGUAGAGGCCGACGGGAGGCAGAGGCUGGGCCUGGAGGGGCCACCAAGAUGCAGGAGCUGGGCCUGGAGAGGCUGCAAAGAAGCAUGAGCUGGGCCUGGUGAGGUCGACUUCAGAAAGUUCAGGGCCUAGAGAGAAGGCUGGGAGGCAGGAGCUGGGUCUAAAGAGGCCAUUGUAACGAUGGAGCUGUGCCUGUGGAGGCUGUUGUGAGGCAGUAGGCUCAUCUGCGGAGACUGCCGUGAGGUAGGGUAUGGGCCUAAAUAGGCCAUUGUGAGUCAUGAGCUUGGUCUGUAGAGGCUGACUGGAGAAAGUUCUGGGCCUGGAGAGGCUGCCGGGAGGUAGGAGCUGGGCCAAAAGAUUUAAGCACAUUUACAUUUAUUAGGCACUUCGUUUCCAUUAUUACACUGUAAUAUCUAAUAAAAUAAUUAUAGAACUCACCA